GCCGAUUAGCACCCUCCCAGUCACUGUAUCAACCCAAAUGUUCCUGUACACUUACUAUUACUCUUAAGGGGUGGUACUACCCUUAUAUUUAAGAAAACUAAAAUGUAAGGGUAGUACCACUUACUGUAUGCCUAUUACUGUAUGCCUAGUGUAUCCCUUUCAGGGAAACACUCCUUGGCCUAGCCAAGUGUUGGAUACCUUCUUGUUGGGUGGCUCUUCUUUUCUAGCUACAGAGAUGAGAAAGCAGGUCACUAUCUGACCCAUACCGGGCCAAAUAAAAUCUUUUCCCAGGUUUUUAAAAACAGACCCAGGGGGUAUGGUUUAGUUCCUUUAUGAGUGGAGAUGUGAGAUCUAGGCUUUUGAUAUACUAGUGGUGGAAAUGUAAGAAAUGUAAAGUUGUCUACUCUUUUGGAAAAUACCAUUACAACUCUUCAAAAUAUUAAGCAUAGAGAUAUUAUGUGUUAUGGUUUGGAUAAGGACUGUCCCCAUAAAUCUCAUGUGAGAUAAUGCAGGAAUGUUCAGAGCUAAAAUGAUUAGAUUAUGAGAAUGUGACCUAAUCAGUGGGAUAACCCAUUUGGUGGAUUAAUAAUUUGAAAGGACCACUGUACUGGGUGGAUGGGUGUGGAUGGAGGAAGUAGGUCCCUGGGGUCAUGUCUUUGAGGAUUAUAUAUCUCUUCCUGGGCUCCUGGGAUCCUGGAGCUGUCUUUCUCUGUUUCCGGUUUCUCAGAGCUGAGCAGCUUUCCUCUACCACACCCUUCCACGGUGACAGUCCACCUCACGUGGGCCCAGAGAGGAGGAAUCAGAUGACUAUAGAUUGAACCUCUGAAACCAAGAUCCUAAAAUAAAUGUUUCCUUUUCUAAGUUGUUCUUGUCAGGCCUAUUAGUCACAGCAAUGAAAAGUGGACCAGCUGGGUGAGGUGAGGAUGCCUGUAAUCCCAGUGGCUCCGGAGGCUGAGGCAGGAAUCAGGAGUUCAAAGCCAGCCUCAGCAAAAGUGAGGCGCUUAGCAACUCAGUGAGAUCCUGUCUCUAAAUACAAAAAAAUAGGACUGGGGAUGUGUCUCAGUUGUUGAGUGCCCCCUAGUUCAAUCCCCAGUACAAAAAAAGAAAAAAAAAAGUAGACUAACUGGGGAUUAACUUUCCUCUACCACACCCUUCCGCCAUGGUGUUCUAUCUCUCUGAGGACCCAAGCAAUGGCUGACCAUGGAUUGAAAUCUCUGAAAUCAUGAGUCACAAUACAUCUAUCCUACUUUAAAUUGUUUGUAUGAGGUAAUCUACUCCUAGGAAUAUGUGUUAAUCAGCUUCUCAUUGCUGUGACAAAUACCUGAGAUAGUCAACUUAUGAGGAGAAAAGGUUGAUGGAGGCUUACAGUUUCAGAGGUUUUAGUCCAUGGUCAGUUGCCCCUGUUGCCUUUGGGCCUGUGGCAAGGUCACAUAUCAUAGUGGUGAACAUGUGAUGGAACAAGCUGCUCUCCUCAUGGUGACUAAAAAGUAAGGAGAGAUGGUAGGGCUGGAUUCCCACUAUUCCCUUUGAGGGCACAGCUCCAGCCUAAAACUUCCCAUUAGGCACCAUCUCUUAAAGGUUAUGCAUCCACCAUCUCCCAAUAGUGUCAACCAGGGAACGAAGCUUUUAACACCUGGGCCUUUGGGGGUCAUUCUAAAUCCAAACUAACUAUAGUAUUAUAUCUCUGAGAAAAAUGAAAACAUAUUGUUAUGGUUUGGAUCUGAAAUGUCCUCCAAAGUCUCAUGAGCUCAGAGGCAGGACUUUGGGGAAGUGAUUAGAUCAUAAGGGCUUUGACCUCACCAGUGGAUUACCACUGAAGGCUGAAUGGACUACCAGGAAGUGGGAACUAACUGGAGGAAGUAGGUCACUGGUGUGUGCCCUGGAGGGGUUUAUCUUAUCUCUGGCCCCUUCCUCUUUUGGUCCACUUCCAGGUGAGCCCUCUGUCAUGCCCGUCUGCCAUGAUGUUCUGCCUCAUCUCAGGUCCAGAGCAAUGGAUCAGUGGGAGCUGGCUGACUGGAGCCUCUGAAACCAUGAGCCAAAAUAAAUCUUUCCUCUUCUGCGUUGUUCUUGUCAGGCAUUUUGAUCACAGUGACAAAAAGCUGACUGAUACACAUUUGUUCACACAAAACCCUGUUUAUGAAUGUUCACAACAGCAUUAUUCAUUACAGCCAAAAAAGUGGAAAGAGCCCAUUAAUCCAUUGACAGGUGAUUGAGAAAACAAAAUGUGGUAUAAACUACUAACACAUGAUGCUACUGUGUGGAUGAAACUUGAAGAAAACAUGGUAGUUGACGGAAGCCAAUCACAAAUGACCAUAUUGUAUGAUUCCACUUGUAUGAAAUGUGCAGAAUAGGUAAAUUCAUAGAGACUAAAAGUAAAUUAUCCCCAGGCUCAGGGACACACACCUGUAAUCCCAGCGACUGGGGACGCUGAAGCAGGAGAAUCCUACUCAAAGCCAACCUCACAACUUAGCAAGACCCUGUUUCAAAAAAUAAAUAAAGGUUGGGAAUGUAGCUCAGUGGUAGAAUGCCCCUGGGUUCAACCCCAGUACUGCAAACACAACAACAAUAAAAAAGAAUGAAGCAAAUUACUGUUGGCUGAGGAGAGGGAGGAAUGAGGAGAGCUUGACAAUGUAUAUGGGUAUUCUCUCCCAUAGUCUGAAGCUUCGUAUUUCCUGAUCUGCUCUUACUUAAUCUUAAUAAAUUCCCAUGUUUUUACUGAAAACUAAACAGGGAACACACACCCACACACAAAGUCUUCAUGGAUUAUAAUUACAAUUUUAGAAAUGAGAAAAGUAUCACAUCCGCUCCCUCCUCCCGCAAUACAGGUGAUUAAACCCAGGGCCUCAUGCAUGCUAGACAAGUGCUUUACCCCUGAUCUACACCCCUGGCCCUUUUUUAAUUUAUCUUGAGACAGGGUCUUGCUAAGUGGCCAAAACUGGCCUUGAACUUACAGUCCUCUUGACUUGGCCUCCCGAGUUGCUGGAAUUAGAGGCAUGCACCACUGUGUGGAGAUAUGCCAUUUUGUACAUGAUUUGACAAACAAAUUUAAUGGUAAAGCAGAUAUGUAUGAACCUGUUCCUUCACUCCAUUCAUCACUGAUCCUGCAUCUACAGAGGGUCUUCACUGUUAUCACUGGGGUGUUUUUUCCACCCCCAAGAGAAGUCAGAAUGAUGAUAUAUAUUUGGUCUGUAUCCCGGGUUCUUCCUCAAACCUUUGCAAGUUUCUAGUAUAGGAAUGUCUUUUGUCAUUCACAAGGAGCCCCUUUUCACCAAGCCUGAAUUUAUGCUAAUGAAGAGAUUCCUGCUAAGCCUUUAGAUAGUUUCAAAGGAGGGAUUGGUCAGCCAGGAAGACCAAGUACAGGUACAGAGGACUGGAGGUCUCAACCCCACACUUCCUUCUCUUGGGAGGGGAGAGGAAGCCAGAGACUGAGUCCAGUUGCCACCAGAGGUGGUCUGAGGAGGUCUCAGAGAGGGAAGUCUUCUGUUUAGGAUGGCAGAGUCCUUGUAGGAAAAAUAAUUUCAAGAUGUGUCAGAUAGGGAGGCACAGAGAUUUAUUUAGGAAAGCAAGGAAUGUACAUUCAAGGGACAAUGCUGGCCAUCUCAAGAGGGAGAGAUACUUGGAUUCUUAGGCUCUUCUUUUAAAUUUUUUUUUUUUUGUACCAGGGCUACUUAACCAUUGAGCCACAUUCCAAGCCCCACCCCCCCUUUGUAUUUUAUUUUGAGACAGGGUCUCCUGAGUUGCUUAGGGUCUCUUUAAGUUGCUGAGGUUGGCUUUGAACUUGCGAUCCUUCCCCCUCAGCCUCACAAGCUGUUGGGAUUACAAGUGUGCACCACCACACCUGGCUCUCAGGCUCUUCUUUGAAAGGAAAGUGGGUGAAGGGUGGCCAUGAGAAUGUAGGUAAGGAUGACAUCAGUCUGGUGAUCAUAAGACGCUUCAUGUUGGUCUGGCAAUUUUCAGGUUCCUUAGGUUGACAUCUUCUCCAUUAUCUGAUCAACAGAUAAUGUUGGGAAAUGUACACUAUGUUAAAGGUUUCAUAUUUCUCUGUGUAAUCUAUUCUAGAAAUAUGUGGGCAAAUUAACAGUGCAAGGUCAGUUUUCAUAAGUGGGUGAAUUUCUAGUACCUUUAAAAUUAUGAAUGAAGAUUUGUGGAUUUCCCAGGUAAUUGGGAGUGGCAGGCCUGUGAGAGAGCACUGGCUUGGGAGGAAAGGUAUGAAGAACUUUAGCACAAAGCUUUCCAACUAAAGUUCUAGUCUCCUUGUCCUUCCUUUUUUCUCCUAUUACCUAUCUCUUAUUUCUUCUGUCCUACCUCACUGUAACAUGUUAAAUGAUUUAAUCAAUCCUGCCUAUAUAAAGAAACCUUGAUUAAAAACUCUUAAGAAGCUUUAGUGGAAUUCCUGACUUGUGAACAUACAAUAUAAAGGGCAGGCAUGGCACACCCAGACUCCAUAGGGGCAGAAGCUGCCACCUCUCCUCUCAGACCUCAUCCUAAUACAUCUUUUCCAUGUGACUGCUUCUUUUUUCUUUUGGUAGCAGGGAUUAAACCUAGAGGCACUUUACACUGAGCUACAUUCCCAACCCUUUUAAUUUAAUUUUCAGAUAGGGUCUCACUAAAUUGCUUAGGUCCUUGCUGAGUUGCUGAGGUUGGCCUCAAACUUGAGAUCCUCCUGCCUCAGCCUCUUGAAUCUCUGGGAUCACAGAUGUGCACUACUGAACUUGGCCCCAUGUGACUAUUUCUAAUUGUAUCCUUUAUAAUAAAAUGGCACUUGCAAGUACAGCACUUUCCUGAGUUCUGUGAAUCACUGUAACAAGUUAUCAAAUUUGGAGGGGAGUUUUGGAAACUUUUGAUUUUGUAGCCACCUUGGAUAGUAAGAAGUGUGGGUGACACCUUGCAUUUAGCAUCUGAGGUGGGGGACGUCUUGUGAAAUUUAGCUCCUAACUGUGGGUGUGUACAAAC
rnacentral:lncRNA from 1 species